UACGGGGGGGGGCAAGCGUUGUUCGGAAUUACUGGGCGUAAAGGGCUCGUAGGCGGCCAACUAAGUCGGAUGUGAAAUCCCCCAGGCUCAACCUGGGAACUGCAUCCGAUACUGGAUGGCUUGAAUCCGGGAGAGGGAUGCAGAAUUCCAGGUGUAGCGGUGAAAUGCGUAGAUAUCGGAGGAACACCGAGUGGCGAAGG
rnacentral:rRNA from 1 species